rnacentral:rRNA from 1 species
CCUGGCUCAGGAUGAACGCUAGCUACAGGCUUAACACAUGCAAGUCGAGGGGCAGCAUGGUCUUAGCUUGCUAAGACUGAUGGCGACCGGCGCACGGGUGAGUAACACGUAUCCAACCUGCCGUCUACUCUUGGACAGCCUUCUGAAAGGAAGAUUAAUACAAGAUGGCAUCAUGAGUCCGCAUGUUCACAUGAUUAAAGGUAUUCCGGUAGACGAUGGGGAUGCGUUCCAUUAGAUAGUAGGCGGGGUAACGGCCCACCUAGUCUUCGAUGGAUAGGGGUUCUGAGAGGAAGGUCCCCCACAUUGGAACUGAGACACGGUCCAAACUCCUACGGGAGGCAGCAGUGAGGAAUAUUGGUCAAUGGGCGAGAGCCUGAACCAGCCAAGUAGCGUGAAGGAUGACUGCCCUAUGGGUUGUAAACUUCUUUUAUAAAGGAAUAAAGUCGGGUAUGGAUACCCGUUUGCAUGUACUUUAUGAAUAAGGAUCGGCUAACUCCGUGCCAGCAGCCGCGGUAAUACGGAGGAUCCGAGCGUUAUCCGGAUUUAUUGGGUUUAAAGGGAGCGUAGAUGGAUGUUUAAGUCAGUUGUGAAAGUUUGCGGCUCAACCGUAAAAUUGCAGUUGAUACUGGAUAUCUUGAGUGCAGUUGAGCAGGCGGAAUUCGUGGUGUAGCGGUGAAAUGCUUAGAUAUCACGAAGAACUCCGAUUGCGAAGGCAGCCUGCUAAGCUGCAACUGACAUUGAGGCUCGAAAGUGUGGGUAUCAAACAGGAUUAGAUACCCUGGUAGUCCACACGGUAAACGAUGAAUACUCGCUGUUUGCGAUAUACUGCAAGCGGCCAAGCGAAAGCGUUAAGUAUUCCACCUGGGGAGUACGCCGGCAACGGUGAAACUCAAAGGAAUUGACGGGGGCCCGCACAAGCGGAGGAACAUGUGGUUUAAUUCGAUGAUACGCGAGGAACCUUACCCGGGCUUAAAUUGCAGAUGAAUUACGGUGAAAGCCGUAAGCCGCAAGGCAUCUGUGAAGGUGCUGCAUGGUUGUCGUCAGCUCGUGCCGUGAGGUGUCGGCUUAAGUGCCAUAACGAGCGCAACCCUUGUUGUCAGUUACUAACAGGUUCCGCUGAGGACUCUGACAAGACUGCCAUCGUAAGAUGUGAGGAAGGUGGGGAUGACGUCAAAUCAGCACGGCCCUUACGUCCGGGGCUACACACGUGUUACAAUGGGGGGUACAGAGGGCCGCUACCACGCGAGUGGAUGCCAAUCCCCAAAACCUCUCUCAGUUCGGACUGGAGUCUGCAACCCGACUCCACGAAGCUGGAUUCGCUAGUAAUCGCGCAUCAGCCACGGCGCGGUGAAUACGUUCCCGGGCCUUGUACACACCGCCC